GCCCAGCUAGCUCAGUUGGUGGAGUGUGUGACUCUUGAUCUCAGGGUUGUGAGUUCUAACCCCACACUGGGUG
rnacentral:tRNA from 1 species